UCUUGUACUAUUUAGAUCUCUCAUCUUCUAUAAGUGGGUGGAGAGGAUACACCUUCGUUGCUCAAAAAGAAGAAAUCAAGUAGCAACACUUUGAUAUUGAGAAUGUGGGUAUUCACAAAGUUAGUUAUGUUGCUCUCCUCCUUUUAUUUGGAAUGAUUCUUCUUGGGAGCAAUGUGGAACAUGCAGAUGCCAAGCCUUGUCCUCGAAAUUGUGACUGACUCUCGAAUUUCCUACGGAAUUUGCCCACUUUCACAAACUAAAAGAAUUAAUUUUGAUCAACUAUGCACCAACUGUUGCGCAGGAAAAAAAGGAUAAA